GACGAACGCUGGCGGCGUGCUUAACACAUGCAAGUCGAACGAUGAAGCUAGAGCUUGCUCUGGUGGAUUAGUGGCGAACGGGUGAGUAACACGUGAGUCACCUGCCCCGAACUUUGGGAUAACUGCUGGAAACGGUAGCUAAUACCGGAUAUGACCAAUGAAGGCAUCUUCUGUUGGUGGAAAGGAUUUCGGUUCGGACUGGACUCGCGGCCUAUCAGCUUGUUGGUGAGGUAACGGCUCACCAAGGCGACGACGGGUAGCCGGCCUGAGAGGGUGAUCGGCCACACUGGGACUGAGACACGGCCCAGACUCCUAGGGGAGGCAGCAGUGGGGAAUAUUGCACAAUGGGCGCAAGCCUGAUGCAGCAACGCCGCGGGAGGGACGCCGGCCUGCGGGUUGUAAACCUCUGUUAGUAGGGAAGAAGCGAAAGUGACGGUACCUGCAGAAAAAGCACCGGCUAACUACGUGCCAGCCGCCGCGGUAA
rnacentral:rRNA from 1 species